rnacentral:rRNA from 1 species
UACCAGCACCCCGAGUGGUCGGGACGAUUAUUGGGCCUGAAGCAUCCGUAGCCGGUCCUGCAAGUCUUCCGUUAAAUCCAGCUGCUCAACAGAUGGGCUGCGGGGGAUACUACAGGGCUAGGAGGCGGGAGAGGCAAGCGGUACUUUAUGGGUAGGGGUAAAAUCCGUUGAUCCAUAGAAGACCACCAGUGGCGAAGGCGGCUUGCCAGAACGCGCUCGACGGUGAGGGAUGAAAGCUGGGGGAGCAAACCGG